CCCAAUGGCUCUCUGUUAGUAGGUCCUGUCUCUAAGCUGGACUCUGGCUGGUUCCUGUGUGUGGCCACUCGAGAACGAGAGAGAGACCACCGCUACAUUUACCUGGCUGUCUCAGAGGGACCAUCUCCUACCUUGCUUCCCAGAGACGGUCCAUUUGCAAGGUUCAGUAUUGAGCGCUCAAGCUCAGCCCAGGUGGAAAUGCGAGCAGGACAAACUGCCAGACUGCCCUGCACUGUUGUCCCUUCCUCAGCUCGGCAGUCUGUCAGCAUUGGGUGGACUAAAGAUGGACAGAUAAUCAGUGACCGCAGGUUUACUCAGCAUUCAGAUGGCACCCUCAUCAUCGGCCCUCUGAAGUCUGAUGACUCUGGUGUCUACACGUGUACAGCCUCCAACCAGCAGCAGCUGGAGCAGCGACAGCUGCAGCUCAGAGUCCAGCCUGAUCUGAAAAUCACAACAGCUCCCAAUAACAUCCAAGUGUCAGAAGGCAGCACGGGC
rnacentral:lncRNA from 1 species